UUAGAAAAAAGAAAAAUAACAAAGUAAAAACAAACCCUAAACUAGAAACAAGGCUCAUUAAAAACCUAAUUCGUCCUAUAAUCCUAAAGCCUAAACGAGUCCAAACCUUAAAAAACACACAUUUCAAAACAAAACCCUAAAGAAACUACCCCGUAGCCAGUUUCCAUUUCUGAUGUUCCCUCUUCAUCUUCAACAAUUUGUCUCUUCAAGCUCUGAAAAAUAACUGUCAAUCACGUCAAAAUUCUCAACUGAUCCAAGGCAUCUCUGAAAUGAGCGAUUUUACUCGCUAUUUUAGUUACCCUUUUACUAAAGAAACUUUGGAUCUCAAAUGUCUUUCCAUUUUCUUAUCAUUUUCUUCUCUUAAAAAAUAGAAAUACUCUUUCUUCAACCCCUCAGAUCUAUUGUUUCCUUGUAUUCAAAUCUAUAAAGUUCCUUAGAUUUUACCAUAAUCCCUUCAACUUCCUCCUCUUCCACCUUGUAUGUCAAUCUCGACGGCCCUAGCUACCAAACUGAAAAGACCAGAAGCCAGAUAAGUAUUCCCGCUCUCGAUUAAACCUUUUUUUGCAAGUAUAUGAGCCACUUUGUUUGUUUGUCUCCUUGCAUGCUUAAAUCUACAACUAACAAAGUUGCUUCUUAAUCUUUUAACAUCUAAAAUGUAAUCCCUUAUUUCAUAUCUAUCCUCUUCCCCACUUAGUAUUUUUUUAAUAAUAGCUAACACGUCGCCAUCAACUUCAACUCUUAAAAAGCUUGACUCUGCUUCGAAUCUAACCACCUGGACACAUGCGAGUGCCUCUGCUACAAACGUCGUUAGUAUAUGCCCGUUAUUCAUCAAAGUUGAUUUUAACAUUCGUGCCCCCAAAGGAUUCUAGUGUUCUUUUGCCACUACGUUGACUGGGUCCACCUAAUACCCAAUCUGGACCAAACAUCAACUGCAAAUGGGCAGUCUCAAAACAUGAUCAAUGGUUUCAGUAUUGUUUAAGCAUCUUGGACAGUUUGCUGCAUUCCCUAGUUUUCGUUGAUAUAGAUUAGAGAAAGUAGGAAGAAAAUUAUUUAGGGAUUUCCAUACCAGGAUUUUUUUUGAAGGUGAUUCAACCUUCCAUAGCUUUUUGUACAUGGUUUUGUAAUAAUUUUGGUUUGCUUGUAAAUUUGUUGAUCUCUCGGUAUGUAUUAAAUUAUUGUAACCACUCCGCACUGUGUAAACCCUUGAAGCUUCUCCUCGCCAUACCACUCAAUCCGUUUCUUGCUCGAGAGGGAGAGGCAGGCAUAGAAUCCUCUCAGCAUCUUUAAGGUGAAAGGUACUUCUUACUAGAU